rnacentral:rRNA from 1 species
CUACGGGCUGCAGCAGUGGGGAAUCUUGCGCAAUGGGCGAAAGCCUGACGCAGCAACGCCGCGUGCGGGAUUCCUUCAUUCGGGUUGUAAACCGCUUUUACCAGGAAGGAAAAUGACAGUACCUGGAGAAUAAGGUGCGGCCAACUACGUGCCAGCAGCCGCGGUGACACGUAGGCACCAAGCGGUUGUCCGGAUUUAUUGGGCGUAAAGAGCUCGUAGGCGGUUCAGUAAGUCGGGUGUGAAAACUCUGGGCUUAACCCAGAGACGCCACCCGAUACUGCUGUGACUUGAGUCCGGUAGGGGAGUGGGGAAUUCCUGGUGUAGCGGUGAAAUGCGCAGAUAUCAGGAGGAACACCAAUGGCGAAGGCACCACUCUGGGCCGAGACUGACGCUGAGGAGCGAAAGCGUGGGUAGCAAACAGGAUUAGAUACCCCCGUAGUC